GAUGAACGCUGGCGGCGUGCCUAAUACAUGCAAGUCGAGUGAACGGACGAGAAGCUUGCUUCUCUGAUGUUAGCGGCGGACGGGUGAGUAACACGUGGAUAACCUACCUAUAAGACUGGGAUAACUUCGGGAAACCGGAGCUAAUACCGGAUAAUAUUUUGAACCGCAUGGUUCAAAAGUGAAAGACGGUCUUGCUGUCACUUAUAGAUGGAUCCGCGCUGCAUUAGCUAGUUGGUAAGGUAACGGCUUACCAAGGCAACGAUGCAUAGCCGACCUGAGAGGGUGAUCGGCCACACUGGAACUGAGACACGGUCCAGACUCCUACGGGAGGCAGCAGUAGGGAAUCUUCCGCAAUGGGCGAAAGCCUGACGGAGCAACGCCGCGUGAGUGAUGAAGGUCUUCGGAUCGUAAAACUCUGUUAUUAGGGAAGAACAUAUGUGUAAGUAACUGUGCGCAUCUUGACGGUACCUAAUCAGAAAGCCACGGCUAACUACGUG
rnacentral:rRNA from 1 species